UUACGGCCAUAUCAUGUUGAAACAACAGCUCACGUACGAAUACCGAAGUUAAGCAACGUCGAGCCUCGUCAGUACUUAGAUGGGUUCCCGCUUGGAAAUACCUGAUGCUAUA